CGGCGCCAAUGUGAUGGNUAUCUGCAAAAUUNCCCCCUNAANAACCCGCGGUAAUACGGAGGGGUGCAAGCGUUAAUCGGAAUUACUGGGCGUAAAGCGCACGCAGGCGGUCUGUCAAGUCGGAUGUGAAAUCCCCGGGCUCAACCUGGGAACUGCAUUCGAAACUGGCAGGCUAGAGUCUUGUAGAGGGGGGUAGAAUUCCAGGUGUAGCGGUGAAAUGCGUAGAGAUCUGGAGGAAUACCGGUGGCGAAGGCGGCCCCCUGGACAAAGACUGACGCUCAGGUGCGAAAGCGUGGGGAGCAAACAGGAUUAGAUACCCUGGUAGUCCACGCCGUAAACGAUGUCGACUUGGAGGUUGUGCCCUUGAGGCGUGGCUUCCGGAGCUAACGCGUUAAGUCGACCGCCUGGGGAGUACGGCCGCAAGGUUAAAACUCAAAGGAAUUGACGGAAGGGC
rnacentral:rRNA from 1 species